rnacentral:rRNA from 1 species
UACGAAGGGAGCUAGCGUUGUUCGGAAUCACUGGGCGUAAAGAGCUCGUAGGCGGCUUGUCGCGUCGGCUGUGAAAUCCCGUGGCUCAACUGCGGGUCUGCAGCCGAUACGGGCAGGCUAGAGUUCGGUAGGGGAGACUGGAAUUCCUGGUGUAGCGGUGAAAUGCGCAGAUAUCAGGAGGAACACCGGUGGCGAAGGCGGUGGUCUGGGCCGGCACUGACGCUGAGGAGCGAAAGCGUGGGGAGCGAACAGG